UGGACUAAAUUGACAAGGUGUUGGCCUUGUUUUUAGACAGGGUAAUGGGCAAUGUCCACUCCGGUGGACUUGCUCUAAAUUCAAUAGAGAGAAAGAGGAGAGAGAAGGAAAUGAAAGAAAGAGGAGAUAGAAUAGAAGAGGAUAAGAAGAGAGAAGAUUAGAAGAACAAGUAUUAGGUGUGAGAGGAAACAUAAGAGAUUCAAGAUUCAAAUAAAAUAUCAAACAUGCCAUAAGGUUUAGAGCUUUUAUUAAUGGAUUGUGUUGUGGGAGAAGAGAGAGAAGAAAAGACGGUGAACAUGAGAAGUUGAAGACAUUAGUGGACAAAUUUGAUUGUCACGUCAGCAAAAAUAGAAUGCUAAAAUUUGUGACAUCAGUAUUUUAUUAACUUAAUCAAUUUUCUAACGAUUGUACGAUAUUAGACAAAAUCUUAAGCCAUUUUAUGAAAUUGAAAAAAUUAAAAGACAUUGUGUCAAUUUAAAAUUAAAUGUAAACCUAAAAGCAUUGUUAUUCUCAGCCUAACGCCGCAUAGGCCCUAGGCAACUAGUCACCACCCCGAUUAAUUCUCUAAGCGUUUAAAAAUUAAAAAAAUGAACCUAUAUCUACUUAGAUGCCCGCCUAGACCACCUAAGCCUCCGUCUAGGUUGCGACUCUCACUUACACAUAAAAUAGACAACUCUCAUUUUACAUUUUAUUUUCAAUAAAAUGUAAGAGACUUGUUGAAUACUUAUAUUAUGUUUGUUCUAUGUUUUCAUUAUAUUCUAAAAUUUUAUAUUUUAUAUGAUAUUUUAUUUUGCAAUAUAUGUAUCACAAUACAAUUGCGUAUUUUUUAAAUAUAAGUCUGCACUUACUUAUACAAUAUAUAUACUUAAAUCUGUCUAAUCUGCCUACGCUCUCACCUUGAUCCAUCUAGCCACCUAUGUGUUAGGUCUCAAUUCUAUGCCAAACUAGCACUAGUGUUUUUCAAAACAUUGCCUGAUAGAGUAAAAUAUGAUUUAGCUUAGUUUUUUAGGUUUUAUAUAUGGGUGUGGAGGUGGUCAUCUACUUUUUUAUCCUUUUGGAUGGUUGGACGUGCAAUUGAAUCUAAUCCAAUGUGUAGCAUGAUGACGAUGACGAGACGAUGACUCAGAAAUGCACUUUUCCAUAUUAAACAAUAGUUUCAGGUUCAAUCAUUAUACGUCGCUUCCCGCAUAUGAGGUGACCCCGUGAUAGUAAGUAAAUUCUUUUGGUAAUAAAUAUGGGCCUUUUCUGCGAAUAUUUUAUUUUAUUAUAAAAGAUUUUUUUUUUUUUUUUUGGGUCAAACGAAAAAUUUUAGACCAUCUCCAACCCUUGGGCUAAAAGCCAAAUUUUGUAGCCCGGAAAAUUUAGC
rnacentral:lncRNA from 1 species